CCUUCCACAACAGCCCUUCUUUUCACUUUUAUUUAUACUGGUUCAGUUUUCAAGUGUGAGCAAUUCCUCUGUCCAGGUUCCAAGAAGCAACAGUGCCUGGAGAAGUGAAGGUGUGGUGGGGAAAAAAGAGCAGUAGGAAAAGAAGAGAAUGUGUGACAAUAAAAAAGAGAGCAAAGGAGCAGUGCCAAGGUGAAAUGGAGUCCUGAGCCCCUUUGCUACCAUGUGUCCAGGACAGGUGUCAGUAGAAGAUAUCUGGGAUGAGUACCUGUGAAGAAAGUACCUUUAUGUCUUAGGAACCGAUAAACUAUUCCAAAUCAUCCAGUGCUGUGAACCAUGCUGAACUGAAGACCAGCAAAUGUUACCUUCCAUCUCUUCCAGUGACUCUAGCGUUGUCUUCAUUAUCAUCUUCUGUUCUCCCUUGCCAAUUCACUCAGCAGUUUGCCUCCUGUGCUACAUACCAGCUGACAGAUGUAUCCUUUUCAUUUCACAUACUCUUAAAGCCUUGGGCACUGCUUUCUGGAGAUAUUUAUACAGCUCUGGGACCCAGUUACUGGAAAAGUGGUUUGUACUGAAUAUUUCUUACAUGUUCUACAAGAUCCCACACACUUUUACUUUGCAUAGAAUAAAACAAAACAAAAAAAAUGGUGUUGAUGCUUUGUAUGUAUUUUAUAUGAAACUUAAACAGUACACCUUGCUGACAGUACACCUCAGUCUGACUGUCUUUCAAAGUUAUCCUCCAUAACAGCAUGAAUUACAUGAUUUAUAAUUUUUAUAUAUGACACUGCCUUCAAAACCUACCUACCACCAAGUUUCUUCUUUUCUCGCAGGUGAGUGUGGAAAUGGGAGAAUGUCUUCCUCCUGCUCAUCACAAGAUGUUUCUGUGUCCUCAACUCAAACACUGGAAGAGGAAGUACAUCUGCAGCAAAACACACCACUGAGU